rnacentral:rRNA from 1 species
AGCUGAUCACUGGGUGUAAAGGGUGCGCAGGCGGUUUUGUAAGACAGAGGUGAAAUCCCCGGGCUCAACCUGGGAACUGCCUUUGUGACUGCAAGGCUGGAGUGCGGCAGAGGGGGAUGGAAUUCCGCGUGUAGCAGUGAAAUGCGUAGAUAUGCGGAGGAACACCGAUGGCGAAGACAAUCCCCUGGGCCUGCACUGACGCUCAUGCACGAAAGCGUGGGGAGCAAACA